UGGCCUUGCGGACCCCAAAGGGCUCCCGCACCCGGGGGUCACAGCCCCAUGGGCGAGCUGGCUGCGGCAGAGGUGCUGCGAAGGGAUUAGUGGCGGUCCGGAAGAGGUGCUGGCAGAGCGGUUCCAUGGUGUAAUGGUUAGCACUCUGGACUCUGAAUCCAGCGAUCCGAGUUCAAAUCUCGGUGGAACCUAAUCGUUUUCGUUCGUCUGUUUUUGGAUUCUUCUGCCCCCAUUACGACCGGACGCACUCCCUCGCUCCAGGGGCUCCUGCCACCACAGGGAUCUCUGCAGCACUGAAGGAAGAGUGGGAAGGGAGCAGCUCCAGCAAAAUUAACUAUCCUCUGGAGACAUUUUUUCUCUAGGACAGUAUUAUGGUCAGCAGAAAGGAAGGAAAGUUUUCAGCAAGCUUUGGGAACAGGAAUCAAAUAUAACAGACUUGAUGACUUGGUGAUUCUUGCAAUGACUGUCAAAAUGAAGUCAUCAGUUUCCUGCAUCCAUUUUGAACUCAACACACAUCUCCUUGUCUGUGUCUGCUGCCUCCAGAGACAUAUUAGCAAGAUAAUACUGGCAGCUCCAGGAUAAGUGCUGGCCAAGAUACAUAAUUUCUGAGACACGGCUCAAAAUCUUCUUCCUCUUACCACACCCUGACACAGGGUUUUACUUCCAAUCUAGGGUCAAAAUCUGCUUGAUACUGGUAUCGCUACCAGACAAAACCAAUGUCAACAACAGCAGUGCAAGCAUCGCUCAUCCCAUCAUCUUCUAAUUUGAAUUCACAAGAUCAGCCCUGGGGAAUGAAGAAGGCAGUCUGAAUUCUGAGGCCAAUUCAUUCAUUUCUCAGAUAUCCAGCGGAGGGGCUGGCUGUGCUCAGCAUGGUGAUGCUUGAUGUGAAGCUGUACAAUCCUCCAGGGAGUCAGGCUGAGACUAUAAAAAUUUGCUCAUUAAGAUCAUUAAAGAGCUGUCAGAUGGAACAACUGGAAUGGCUUUGAUCUGGCAGAAUACCCUUUGUCCUGUUCCCAGACAUUGGGAACCAUCCAGUUCCCCAGAAUUAUUUGUUUUCAAGUCUUUCAAACAAUACUCAUUGUUUUUUCAUAGGGUGCAAUAAGUCCUUCAGGCAAACUGGUGGCUGUACCAACUAUAACAAGAUUAAUUUAUUAAAUAGAAACCCUGAUAUUUCAGUGAUUCCUCUAUAAAUAUAUUCAUUGUUGGUUCUGCCAAGAAAGUAACAAAAUGUUGCUCAUAAUCCUAAAGAUAUUCCCUAUAAAUCCACUAGGUGUCCUACUGUUUUCAAGCAAUUCGACUCAGGGUUUGGGCUUUUCCCUAGUUUUGCCAGUGAGGAAUUAGUGUGAAUCUUUGCGGGAAUUAGGUCUGGGUUUGCAGGUUGAAGAAACAUGUAUGUAUGGCUUGCGUGACGCAGCAGGACAUCUGGCUCACAGUGGCAGUUCUUUCGGCAAAUGCCACUAAUGUUUCCCACAGAAACCAACUCAAGGUUAGAGGCAGGAAGAGAAAAAAGAAAAGAAUCUGCCUUCCUCUCUUGGGAAUGCUAAACAAGAUCCAUCAGAGCCAAAUCGUCUUCUCAGUCAAACUUGAACAUCUAUUUAUAGGACUGCUAAAGUGAGCCUGAUGCUGACCUCAAAGGUGGUGGCAACACACGUUAACCUUCAUCACAGCCACGCUGCACAGGCUGCAGUUUUGACAUUCCUGGUCACUGUUCCAGUUCCUGAUGGGUUUCUGCUGCUUGCCAGCUCUUGCGCCUGUUUGCAAAGGCCAGCACAGCACCGGCUCACGAGGUGUCCUGUCGUUCUCAACACAGAGGAUGUGUCAAAUACAUGCUAAGAAAAGCAGGCUGAAAAAUAGCCAAAGGAUACUUUUCUCAUCCCAGAAAGUAUCUGGGGUGGAGUGUGGCCAUUGGGAAGUGGCCAGCUGCUUGGCUGUUCCUUCAUUAUGCAACCCGGAGCACACACAUCGUAUCGAGUUGUGCUAUUUGGGACAUCCUUCGACUGCCUUGGGAUUUGUUCCUUGUGCUCAGUCCUAGCACAGCAGCCUGGAAUUCUCUGAAACAGUCAUCUCCUGGGUGUCUAAAAAGCAUCUUUAGGUAUUCCAGUGUCAGUGCUCCAAAAUGAGUCAUGCAUCAGUGAGAGGUGACUACAGGGUGAUUUUUAUGGUCUUGUCACUGAAGCAUAAAUCACAUCCUGUAUAAACCCUAUAGCCUUUUGUUGCAUUUGCAAACCCCUCCUGUUCACUCUAGCUUCAUAGGGGUGUUAUAUCUUGAGAUUAUGUGAGGCAAGUGAGGAGAAAAUCAGGGUUGUUUUCUAUUUAAAAAAUGCCAGAGGCAAAGAUGCUCUCAAACAGCGAGGUUAUUUCGUUUCUCAGGAGGUGCUUCAUGGCCAGAAGUACUGCCCACAGCUAUUGGCUGGGCAAAUGGGCACUGGGCAAGGUGUCAGCACCAGUUUAAUCUAAAGCUGUAAGGGGAAAUCAGAGGGGGAACAAGAGCCUCCUGUCCUUGGCCCACCAGGAUUCCUUGCCAUCAGGCAUUGUGCAUCACGGGAAGUGCCUAGCAUCUGUCCUGUGCCAUGUGUUACUGCACUGCCUCUAGUUCUUGUGUUGAAGGUAUGACAGUCAUUUUCCUGACAACCUGCAAGAAGAAAAGAUACUUCCAUAUUCUGACGGUAUGUAUAUAUAGCUACCUGCUGUAGUACCAUCCAUAUGCAGUAUGCACCAUCUGCUAACUGUGAAAGAGUUUAACCUGGUCCAGCGCAUGUGUCUACUGUUGCACACAGCAAAUACCUCAAGCCUUGCCAUGAUUCAGUGCAUUGUGCAUGGGAGCCAUCUGGUCCUGUAGCUGAAGAAGCAAACUGAAAAUUUGAUGAAAGCACAAACAGUCACAAUGAGAGAGUCUGGAAAGAUGUGGUGAUAUUCCAAGCAGGAGUCUCCUUCCAUGGGGGAUAAUCUCAUCACCCAUUGCCUCUUUCCUGCUCCUUUCUCUGGAAAGCUGCUGUCAGAGAGGCUGCAUUGUCAGCUCUGUGAGUAAGCACACCUUUGGGUUGUUAAAAAUGUGUUUUGUGAGCUUGAGCAAACCUUCUGGGACAAGAUUUUUCUCAGUAGCCAGCUGUGCAGUGAGCAAGAUGUGCAAGAUGUUUGGAACACAGCACACUUUAUGGAGCUUGGAUUGAUCAAGAACUCCAGCAGGCUUAAAAGACAUUCUCGGUUAUGAUUAGUCAUGAAUAGAAUCAUAGAACAGAAUCAUAGUUUGGGUUAGAAGGGACCUUCAAAGGUCAUAUUGUCUCACUACUGCGUGUAUAUACUGGAAUGUAUAAAAAACUGCAUACAACCCCAAAGCACAAAACGCAGAAUCUCUGGGCAAAAUUAUCUUCUCAGUCUCUUAUAUUACUCUAAAGUAGUGUCUUCAUCUUUCUCACAGUUACCCGAAACCCAUUUUCAUUUCAUUGUGUCAGACCCAAAAGAUCUACCAUAUAAGGAUAAAUCCGCUUGGAUUUCAUCACAACUGUUGUAACUUCCUAGGCAAACUUACAGUCUCAGAGGAAGUACGUAAAGAUGCAUUACAGUACAUGGGCCUUAGUACGCUAAGAAAUAUGCUGCCGUCAGUUGUUCUCUGUUAGUAGUUUUCUAUGCAAAUAUAAAUAGUAUGUAGGUGGAGAACUGCUCAACUACCUGAAGCAGAGUUUCUCCACAUACACAAGCAGUGAACCUGCACUUCAUGGCUGAGCUCGUUUUUAAAACAUCAUGUUCUACAGCUCUUUCUUUAAACAACAAAAUAGUUUGCUCUAAAUUGUUUGAUAUUUAUUUUGUAUAACUUGUUCUGUGGCUGUCCUUGCUAUAGAAAUGCUGUUAUGCUACAAGAAGAUAGAUUGCCUGGACUGGAAGCCCCAGCCCUGAUUCAGGGAAGCACAUGGUUUCCUUACAAUGAUUAUAAUUACUAUUCAGUAUAUAGUGCAAUUGUUUUUGGUGUUUAAAAGAGAACAAAGCAAAACAAAACAAGACAAAGCAGUUUUGGAAAGGAAAACAGAACGUUAGAAAAAAAUAACUGUGAAAUAGGAAGUGGUUGACCUUCAGGAGAUAACUCCAUCUGCAGUGUCUGUUAUCCAGCAUUUUCUAGAUCAGAAAACAGAAAGGAAAAAACCCAUUAAAUACCCCAAUAAUCCUCUAGAAAAUGCAGCACCUCCUUUUCUGUAGGUACAACAUUUUACAUCUCCUGUUCAACAGCUGCUAGUGUCAAAGGCCAAACAAGGAGUACAUGGAAUGCAGAGCCUGAAGUUUUUCAGCAGUUGCUGACAGCAAAACCAUCUAAAGCUGUAGCAGAUGUUCUUUUGCUUCCUGUCUGCUUAUCAACCCUGCAAAGACACUUCGUUUUUGUACUUGUUAUGCCAAGUGUAACUAUGGAGAUCUAAUACAAGCUGCGCAACAGCGAUACGGUGGAUAGUUCUUUAAGUAUUCGGUUAUGAAUGAUCAAGCAAAAUAUUAUGGUUUCUAAGAACUCCCUUAAAUUUUUCCAUAUGUACAUUAGUCAUUCCCCUUGCACGACAAGAACAUGACAGCGCUCAAAAUCAUGUAAGAAAUACUACAUUACUGCAGCUCUCUAAAGAUCAAAUGUCAUUAAUAAAUUGUUGGACCUUCCAUAGGAUCCUUUCCAGAUUGACCUGCCUUUUGGGCUGGGACUGUUGCUGGAGAGGAGUUCAUGCAAUGCUUUCAUGUUACAGCAACUGAACAGGAGUUACAUGCUGUGAUUGAUGUUAGCUGUAGUCUUUAGUUUAAAAAACAUUUAAGAAGUGAAUUAGCAUCUCUUGGGUUACAUUUCUGUGGUGAAAUUCUUCACCAACUUCAGUCCACAUCCCUUUGGAUAAUAGGCAGAGUGAAGAUGUUAGUUUGGCCUCAACAUGUUUGCAUUUUGCAUGUUGCUUCUAGUACACCGUGAAAUAAGGAGGGGUACAUCUCAACUAACUGUAUUCCUCCGAGGACUUGAAUAUGCUACAGGAGAGAGUUCUUAACUGCCAAUUUAAAAUUCACUUCCACUACACAUUUUUUAUCGCACUUCAGUUCUUUUAAUUCAUUUAUAUUCACUAUGAGCUCCUAUAAAAUAUAAAUUUAAUAUGAAUGACUAAAUGCAAGUGUUGAAACAGCAUUCAGGGCUUUGAGCUACUUUAAUGAGACUGAAUUUUACACUGAUGCAUUUAAGUUGACAUGCAAGACCCAGGGUAAUGAAGUUUAUUCCUCAAUAAAGAGGAGUUCUUUUUUCUCCAUGAAACAGCAGAAAUAAAGGAAUUUACAUAAAUCCUAGCAUGGAGGUUUUGCUACAGGUUUUUCAUAGUGACAGAAAAGGAUGGGUUUGGAAUGGUUCCUCUGCCCAUGUUGAAACUGGAAACCAAAAGUGAUAGCUUUGGCCUGUCACUGGUAGGCAUGGUUAUAGAUACUCCUACGGGAAACAAAAGGUUUCAGAGUGACAGUGCUGGUGUUUGCCACAUUUCAUAUAAUGCUAUCAAGGAAAAAGAGCUCUAGACAACCAUUAUUGCUACUUUUAUAUUGUUGAUAGCAUUACAAAUCUGUCUUGAUCUGGAAAAUGCAAAGAGAGGACACAGUGAUUCCUUGGGUAGUCCUUCCAUGGGUGAUAAUCUGUUGUAUUACAGGGUUAAGUCCCAUGUCCUCAAAGGAAAUGAAGCACUUUGGGAUUGUUGGUUCCAGGGGAAGUAGACAUGGAUAUUCUUUUGAGCAAACGAGCUUCCAUAUGAGAGUUCUAGACCUAAAAUUAAGUCACCUUCCUUUCUCCAAAGACAAGCAAUGACAAAGCAAUGCAUGAAGCAACCCAGGAAAGUUGCUGGAAAUAAAGAUGUGAGGGACUUCAUGCAAAGGGCAGAUUUGCGUCUGAUUUAUCAGAUGGGUCUGAUGAAUGCAGUGAUGGAAAUCACCUGAAGCAUCUGGGAAAACACCACAAGAAGUAUAAAGCUGAAUGAGGAAAAAGCAGAACCCAGGGAUUAAAUUCAUAUGAGCUGGGAAUGUGGAAGAGGUAAGCACAAUUCUGUGGGUGAUUUCCUGGAAGGGAUACAGUAAAUAUGUUUUAAAAGCAACACAUUGGUACUAUGACUGGAUAAGGGAUUUUUCAGCUGAAGUGUUUGCAAAUACAGGUCAGUAUUUAGACUUAGACUGUAAGGGGUAGCACAGUAGGAAGCAGGAUGGAUGAGAUGUCUUAACAGGGCUUCAUUGUAGUCAAAUUAAUUCAGUUGAAAUAAUUAAUUCUCUUUUAAAUUGACUCUACUCUGCACACUUGACAUUUUGGAAAAGCUGCCUUUGCCUGGCCUGCUGGUAAAUGCUUUUGCAUCUGUUUUCCAUUGUUUCCUUCUUGAAAAAAAAUCCUUGCCACUAACAGGAACCAUCAGCAACAUGGAACAAAUUGACUUGCCAAGGACAUUUCCUCCAAUCCCGUUAUUUACCCUGGAAGUAUUCUUUUUUGUAUUGAGUCAGACUGUGGUUUUUAAAAAUUGCUGUUUAUGAAGAUAGAUUUGUGCUGUCCUUAUGGGUCAAAUUCAAACUUGGUUACUCGAUCUGACCUAUAUUCACGCUGACUCACUGAUGAGAUUUAAUGUUGUGAAUUUGUUUUGCCUCUGUUUCUCAGCAGUUGCUCAAAUUUUGAACAGGUACUAACCUAACUGAAUUGAGAGAUGAGUAUAAAAAGACCAGCAUUUGUAGUAGUAUAAGGGGACGUUCUGAAGCAGUUACAGAAGCAAAUCAUUUCAGAUAAUUAGGAGAAGAGUUGGGCAGUGAUAUAGAUUUAAAAACUACCCGAGAUAAAAUAUCAGAUACUAAAAAUAUACUGAGAUGAAACCCUCAUGACUCAGUACCUGAGCCAACCUCCAUUCUCUAGGAAUUACUAAGAAAGUCAUCCAAACAGAGCAGAUUGAGGUGUAUCACCUUACUCUGGUGAGCUUACACUUAUGAUUCAAAGAAGUAUUUUACCCUGCCAAAGGAGAGGCACAGGUCUGAGUGAACAGGGCAAUCACAGUAUUUAUUUGAAUGUAUUCUGUAGCUUUUUUAAAACUGGUGAGUUUAUUUCUACUUAGAAGAUUUCUAAUAAUGAAUGCUCUGGAUCUUCAAUGGCAAAAGCACUGUCAGGAGGGCCUGAGAUGCAUUCUUUUUGACAGUACCUGUGAGUCUAGCUAAUAGCUGAGGAGUGAUGAAUCCAGCUUGCAAUUAGAAAUGUGAAGUGGCAUUUCUUUCUUCUCUUUUCUGCAUUUCUGUUUUCUGACUAGAUGCAGAAUUUUGGAAGUACUGAAAGUCCUGAAAGCAUAGAAAGUAUUCUGAAAGAAGGAAGUAUCUGAAAAGUAUUUUGAAAUGCUGCCGUUUCAGAGAAAACUCUGUUAAAAGAACGUCAGCUAUAAUCUGGGUCACAUUUUCAGUGCAGAUGUGGCAAAUGCAUUUUCUUGGAAACCCUCCAUGACAGUUAAUGAGAAGAGUGACCCAAUGUUUUCUUACCUUACAAAGUAACUGUUCUGUUUCAGAGAUGUCAUGUGGAUGAAGCACUGCUUCUGUUUCCAAAGUGGUGUCCUGUUUAAGCUUGUUCAGGAGCAGAGAUUUUCCUCUGAGAAGAGUUUCAAGCAAGGAGCAAAUCUCUUUUGUACAUCUUGACUGAUCUCAAUCUGGCUUGUCAGUUUUCUGAAUUCUAAUGAUCUGGGUUUAUUUCCAGAUAAUGACUAUUUUGUAAAUGAGAUGCCUUAUAAAUAAAUAUGGAAAUUAUUCCAUAAUAGUAA